rnacentral:rRNA from 1 species
GCCAGAGGGUGCAAGCGUUGUUCGGAAUUACUGGGCGUAAAGCGCGUGUAGGCGGUUAUGCAAGUCGGGUGUGAAAGCCCGGAGCUCAACUCCGGAAGUGCAUUCGAUACUGCGUAGCUAGAGUACUGGAGAGGAUGGUGGAACUCUCGGUGUAGAGGUGAAAUUCGUAGAUAUCGAGAAGAACACCGGUGGCGAAGGCGGCCAUCUGGACAGAUACUGACGCUGAGACGCGAAAGCGUGGGGAGCAAACAGG